AACAUUCACAGCGGAUAGAGGAAGCAGGGGCUCACUCUCAAAAAGGACAGGAAGAAAAUGUGCUCACACUUUCAGCCAAAGUUAACUUCAUGCAACACUUCCGUUUUGAUGGGAAGUGCAUCUCCCCAGGGAAGGAGACAACCAUCAAGAUGCCACAAAAUAAGUUAUGAAGCAAUACGUUUGAAAUGAAUUGGGUUUUUAGUUUAGGGGCAGAUAAACAAUUAUCACUGUGAUUACUAUUUCGACUACUGGGGGAAAGGAACCCAAGUCACGGUAACUUCUGCUUCAACACCAACGCUCCACUUUGUUCCCUCUUGUGCAAUGUGGCUCCGGGACCGGAGAUAUGAUGACUCUGGGUUGCAUUGCCACUGGCUUCACGCUGCCUCCCUCCCUCUCAAAUGGAAUGAAGAAGGCGGGAAUCCCUGACUGAUUUCGUUCAGUACCCUGCGGUCCAAACCGGUGGAAGCUACAUGGGAGUCAGUCACUCCGUGUAAAGAGAGCAGACUGGGACAGUAAAACAUUUGAAUGCGCCGUGGAACAUUCAGCUGGUUCAAAGGAAGUACAGUGAAGAAACAAAUGCAGCGGGUCAUUCCUCCAAAUAUCACCCUGUAUCCUCUCUGGGAGGAACUGGAGGGAGGAUCGAAGGUGGGACUCCUCUGCAUCCUAAGUGGGUUCUACCCUGACAAGCUGAGUGUGGAGUGGCUGCUGGAUGACAAGACUUGAACCUACACUCUCCAGUCCAGCGAAAGCUGCAGAGUGUAGAAGGUGAGGAGAAAACAUUGCCUGAACAGCCAGGUGAGCUGGACCGGAGCCAAUGGACUCAAGGACAGAGGUCACAUGCAAGGCACCCACAAUGCAGCACAAGGACCACCUCCAGGAGCACCCGUCUCCAGGACACCAGCAUUUGCCGUUUCCUCUCUAUCUCAUCAUCCACUGGAGACCCCCAGAUUCAGACAGUGAUGAACAGACUGAGAUCUGACUCUUCCUCAAGCCAAUGGAACCUGAACACAAUAACAUGCAGAGCUGAACAUCGCUGCUUCAACUCCACAGAGAAGACCAGUAAUGUUAAAGGACCUGCAGUGAGGCAGCACUCCUACAGUUCUGUAUCAGGAGGUCUCUCCAGAACUUACUGGUGGAGACAGUGUUGUGCUGGAGUGUCCAUACACAACUCUCCUCCAGUGACCUCUACGUCACCUUUCAGGCCAAUGGGGUUGAUUUCCCUGAGAAACAGAUGUGGAUCUGCCUGCCUCCAAUGCCCAUUCACUCACCAGACGCUUCUCUGUCUACAUCACAUGGAGACAGACACACUUUCACCUGUAAAGUGAACCAAGGUUUCUCCAACAGCUGGGUGUCUAAUCAACAGGAAAGAUUUUUGGUGAGUGAACUGUCCAUGGAYCUCCUUCUAGUCCCCAGUGAGGAGUCYUCUGGCUCAGGGACCCAGAAACUCAUGUGUUCUGGGUGGGGCUUCAACCCUAAGAUCAAGUGGCUCUCUGGGUCUGAACAGAGGUCUGCAGCAGACAAUGAGAUAAGGAUGGGGGAAGACGGACAUGUGGCAGUAACCAGUCAUAUCACAGUAACACAGCAGGAGUGGAAUGAGGGGAAGGACUUCAUCUGUGAGGUAGAUGACAAAGAUCUUCAGAAAACUGUCAGGAAGAGCACUAGUUUAUGCACKGUUUUUCCCUCGUCUACUCCAUCCCUCCACCUGGAGACCCCCAGAUUCAGGACAGUGAUGACACAGACUGAGGUAACAUCUACAUGUGUGGUCCACUCUGCGUAUGACGCCAAAGUGUCCUGGCUUCUGGAUGGAAAAGACCCAACCAACAGGGCCGCAGUGAACCAGGCCAGCAGCACAACUCAGAGCAUCAGCAGUAARCUGACUCUUCCCUCAAGCCAAUGGAAAACCCUGAACACAAUAACAUGCAGAGCUGAACAUCGCUGCUUCAACUCCACAGAGAAGACCAGUAAUGUUAAAGCCUCAGUGACCCCCUCCGCACCAACAGCAACCCUGCUCCAGGGUCCCAGUGAGCUCGUCUGCCUGGUGCUUGGCUUCAGCCCUUCGGACAUCAACAUCACCUGGCUGCUGGACAACGUCACAGAGCUGUGGAACAACAACACUAGCACCCCCUACAGGGCACCAGGAGGAAAGUUYGGCAUCAGGAGCCACCUGAGCCUGGCACACCAGGACUGGACACMGGGGGCUGUUUACACCUGCAGGGUGACCCACACCACCCAGACUCUGGCCCUGAACAUAUCCAAACCAGAGCUACUUGGGGUGGAGGGUGUCUUCUUUGACGAGAACAGGUCUGAUCCCAUUCUGGCGGACACUGCAGAGGAGAACUGGAACAUGGCCUGCAUCUUCCUGGUCCUCUUCCUCAUCUCCCUCCUCUACAGCUUCACAGUACAGUACUCUGGUCAAGACAAAAUGAUGACUUCAGGACACUUCCAUAUGAUGGAUCCCUAGGAGUUCAACUGGAAAUGAAACUAUUUAUUUCAACCUUUUCUUAUACAAUCACAACAUGUUUCUUUAGAAAAUUGCAUAGAUUUAAUUACUUACUGUUGCAGUUUGAUGACAGGAAGUGUUCUUGUUGUCAUUCCCCACAAAGACAGACAACGUGGUGGCGCACUUACUUGCUCUCAUCUCUUGUUAAUGCAUCAUAGAAUUUUUGAGCAGAGAUAAAAAUGGAUGUUUAACCACUAUUAAAUAAAGCAUACAAUUACUCUCUAUGAUGAAGUAUUUAGACACCAGUUAUUGCUGAAUUACUGCUUAUAAUAAAACAUUAUUUCAAUCAA